CCCGUGGCGGAACCGGAAGUGUCUUUGAUAGCUACGCUGAGUUUGCGUGAUUUUGCGACAAAGAUUUACGACCUCGGCGCCAUCUUGAAAGCGUCAGUAUGAAGUACCUAGUCGCUACGUCACCAUUUUGAGAAGUUUAUACACUGUUGCAUGUGGGAGCCCCUGGAAACCAUAAGAGGAAGUCAGAUUCCCUGGAACUGGAAUUACAGAGGUUGUGAGCCACCGUGUGGGGUCUGGGAGUCAGACCAGGAUCCUCUGCAAGAACAAGCCACUCUGCUUAUGGUUCUACAGAAGCCCAAAAGACCAUCACCAAGCAUAAAGGAGCUUCGCCCAAGUCCCUGUGCCUUCCUUCCCUGGUGUCUCGGUGGAGGUCCUCAGCUCCCAAUUCACUUAGUUGUCCUGAAGUGGGACAAGAUACCAAGUGUCCUCUGGUCACAGUGCCCUGAUGUAUUAUGGGAGCCAUCACUUCCUCUAUAGAUUACGAGGCUAGGGAAGAGAAAACUUGCAUUCUGAAUGCUGAGGUCAGGAACUGAAAGAGAAAAGGAAUGCCAAGAUUUGUGGACUGAAGAAGGGUCCUGCCAUGUUCUAGCUCCCUAGAGACAGUACUCUAGAAAUUACCCUCAGGUGCACUGUGCACUGACCACAGCGGCCACUGUCUGGCUCUGCC